CCUACGGGAGGCAGCAGUGAGGAAUAUUGGUCAAUGGACGCAAGUCUGAACCAGCCAUGCCGCGUGCAGGAAGACGGCUCUAUGAGUUGUAAACUGCUUUUGUACGAGGGUAAACGCAGAUACGUGUACCUGUCUGAAUGUAUCGUACGAAUAAGGAUCGGCUAACUCCGUGCCAGCAGCCGCGGUAAUACGGAGGAUUCAAGCGUUAUCCGGAUUUAUUGGGUUUAAAGGGUGCGUAGGCGGUGGGUUAAGUUAGACGUGAAAUCCCGGGGCGCAACAUCGGAAUUGCCUUUGAUACUGUUCGGCUAGAGAGUAGGAGCGGUAGGCGGAAUGUAUGGUGUAGCGGUGAAAUGCAUAGAGAUCA
rnacentral:rRNA from 1 species